rnacentral:rRNA from 1 species
ACAUCCAGAGAAUUUAGCAGAGAUGCUUUAGUGCCUUCGGGAACUCUGAGACAGGUGCUGCAUGGCUGUCGUCAGCUCGUGUUGUGAAAUGUUGGGUUAAGUCCCGNAACGAGCGCAACCCUUAUCCUUUGUUGCCAGCACGUAAUGGUGGGAACUCAAAGGAGACUGCCGGUGAUAAACCGGAGGAAGGUGGGGAUGACGUCAAGUCAUCAUGGCCCUUACGAGUAGGGCUACACACGUGCUACAAUGGCGCAUACAAAGAGAAGCGACCUCGCGAGAGCAAGCGGACCUCAUAAAGUGCGUCGUAGUCCGGAUUGGAGUCUGCAACUCGACUCCAUGAAGUCGGAAUCGCUAGUAAUCGUAAAUCAGAAUGUUACGGUGAAUACGUUCCCGGGCCUUGUACACACCGCCCGUCACACCAUGGGAGUGGGUCGCAAAAGAAGUAGAUAGCUUAACCUUCGGGAGGGCGUUUACCACUUUGUGAUUCAUGACUGGGGUGAAGUCGUAACAAGGUAAGCGUAGUGCU